rnacentral:rRNA from 1 species
UACAGAGGUCCCAAGCGUUGUUCGGAUUCACUGGGCGUAAAGGGUGCGUAGGUGGUAAGGCAAGUCAGGUGUGAAAUCUCCGGGCUCAACCCGGAAAUGGCAUUCGAAACUACCUUGCUAGAGGGUUUGAGGGGGGACUGGAAUACUUGGUGUAGCAGUGAAAUGCGUAGAUAUCAAGUGGAACACCAGUGGCGAAGGCGGCUCCCUGGUCCGAUUCUGACGCUGAGACGCGAAAGCGCGGGGAGCGAACGGG